rnacentral:rRNA from 1 species
AUUGAACGCUAGCGGGAUGCUUUACACAUGCAAGUCGAACGAGAGGCGGACGGGUGAGUAAUAUAUUGGAACGUGCGCAGUAGAGGGGGAUAACUACGAGAAAAAGUGGCUAAUACCGCAUACGAUUGGAGCGGCGGAUAUAGGGUUAGCUAGUGGGUGGGGUAAAGGCUCACCAAGGCAACGAUCCGUAGCUGGUUUGAGAGGACGACCAGCCACACUGGGACUGAGACACGGCCCAGACUCCUACGGGAGGCAGCAGUAGGGAAUUUUGGACAAUGGGGGAAACCCUGAUCCAGCCAUCCCGCGUGUGUGAGAAGGCCUUCGGGUUGUAAAGUACUUUUGGCAGAGAAGCGGUAUCUGCAGAAUAAGCCCCGGCUAACUACGUGCCAGCAGCCGCGGUAAUUC